rnacentral:rRNA from 1 species
AUAUUGCACAAUGGGCGCAAGCCUGAUGCAGCGACGCCGCGUGAGGGAUGGAGGCCUUCGGGUUGUAAACCUCUUUUGUUUGGGAGCAAGCCUUCGGGUGAGUGUACCUUUCGAAUAAGCGCCGGCUAACUACGUGCCAGCAGCCGCGGUAAUACGUAGGGCGCAAGCGUUAUCCGGAUUUAUUGGGCGUAAAGGGCUCGUAGGCGGCUCGUCGCGUCCGGUGUGAAAGUCCAUCGCUUAACGGUGGAUCUGCGCCGGGUACGGGCGGGCUGGAGUGCGGUAGGGGAGACUGGAAUUCCCGGUGUAACGGUGGAAUGUGUAGAUAUCGGGAAGAACACCGAUGGCGAAGGCAGGUCUCUGGGCCGUCACUGACGCUGAGGAGCGAAAGCGUGGGGAGCGAACAGGAUUAGAUACCCUGGUAGUCCACGCCGUAAACGGUGGACGCUGGAUGUGGGGCACGUUCCACGUGUUCCGUGUCGGAGCUAACGCGUUAAGCGUCCCGCCUGGGGAGUACGGCCGCAAGGCUAAAACUCAAAGAAAUUGACGGGGGCCCGCACAAGCGGCGGAGCAUGCGGAUUAAUUCGAUGCAACGCGAAGAACCUUACCUGGGCUUGACAUGUUCCCGACGACGCCAGAGAUGGCGUUUCCCUUCGGGGCGGGUUCACAGGUGGUGCAUGGUCGUCGUCAGCUCGUGUCGUGAGAUGUUGGGUUAAGUCCCGCAACGAGCGCAACCCUCGCCCCGUGUUGCCAGCACGUUAUGGUGGGAACUCACGGGGGACCGCCGGGGUUAACUCGGAGGAAGGUGGGGAUGACGUCAGAUCAUCAUGCCC